CCUGGAACUCACUUUGUAGACCAGGCUGGCCUCAAAUUCACAGAGAUCUGCCUGCCUCUGCCUCUCAGAGUGCUGGGAU
rnacentral:miRNA from 1 species